UCGGUCAUUCCUCGUGUCGAU
rnacentral:siRNA from 1 species